rnacentral:rRNA from 1 species
AGUGAACGCUGGCGGUAGGCCUAACACAUGCAAGUCGAACGGCAGCACAGUAAGAGCUUGCUCUUACGGGUGGCGAGUGGCGGACGGGUGAGGAAUACAUCGGAAUCUACUUUUUCGUGGGGGAUAACGUAGGGAAACUUACGCUAAUACCGCAUACGACCUACGGGUGAAAGCAGGGGAUCUUCGGACCUUGCGCGAUUGAAUGAGCCGAUGUCGGAUUAGCUAGUUGGCGGGGUAAAGGCCCACCAAGGCGACGAUCCGUAGCUGGUCUGAGAGGAUGAUCAGCCACACUGGAACUGAGACACGGUCCAGACUCCUACGGGAGACAGCAGUGGGGAAUAUUGGGCAAUGGGCGCAAGCCUGAUCCAGCCAUACCGCGUGGGUGAAGAAGGCCUUCGGGUUGUAAAGCCCUUUUGUUGGGAAAGAAAAGCAGCAGGUUAAUACCCCGCUGUUCUGACGGUACCCAAAGAAUAAGCACCGGCUAACUUCGUG